GGCUCAGGAUGAACGCUAGCUACAGGCUUAACACAUGCAAGUCGAGGGGCAGCAUGAACUUAGCUUGCUAAGUUUGAUGGCGACCGGCGCACGGGUGAGUAACACGUAUCCAACCUGCCGAUGACUCGGGGAUAGCCUUUCGAAAGAAAGAUUAAUACCCGAUGGCAUAGUUCUUCCGCAUGGUAGAACUAUUAAAGAAUUUCGGUCAUCGAUGGGGAUGCGUUCCAUUAGGUUGUUGGCGGGGUAACGGCCCACCAAGCCUUCGAUGGAUAGGGGUUCUGAGAGGAAGGUCCCCCACAUUGGAACUGAGACACGGUCCAAACUCCUACGGGAGGCAGCAGUGAGGAAUAUUGGUCAAUGGACGAGAGUCUGAACCAGCCAAGUAGCGUGAAGGAUGACUGCCCUAUGGGUUGUAAACUUCUUUUAUACGGGAAUAAAGUGAGGCAUGUGUGCCUUUUGUAUGUACCGUAUGAAUAAGGAUCGGCUAACUCCGUG
rnacentral:rRNA from 1 species